rnacentral:rRNA from 1 species
UGUCCGGAAUUAUUGGGCGUAAAGAGCAUGUAGGCGGCCUAUUAAGUCGGGCGUGAAAAUGCGGGGCUCAACCCCGUAUGGCGCCCGAUACUGGUGGGCUUGAGUGCAGGAGAGGAAAGGGGAAUUCCCAGUGUAGCGGUGAAAUGCGUAGAUAUUGGGAGGAACACCAGUGGCGAAGGCGCCUUUCUGGACUGUGUCUGACGCUGAGAUGCGAAAGCCAGGGGAGCGAACGGGAUUAGAUACCCCGGUAGUCCUGGCCGUAAACGAUGGGUACUAGGUGUAGGAGGUCUGACCCC